rnacentral:rRNA from 1 species
CCUACGGGAGGCUGCAGUGAGGAAUAUUGGUCAAUGGACGGAAGUCUGAACCAGCCAUGCCGCGUGCAGGAAGACGGCUCUAUGAUUUGUAAACUGCUUUUGUACAAGGGUAAACCUGAAUACGUGUCUUCAGCUGAAAGUACUGUACGUAUAAGGAUCGGCAAACUCCGUUCCAUCAGCGGCGGUAAGACGGUGGGUCAAAGCGUUAUCUGGAUUUAUUGGGUUAAAAGGGUGCGUAGGGGGAGCGUUAAUUCAGUGGUAAAAUUGAGGGGCUCAACCCCUUCCCGCCAUUGAAACUGGCGCUCUUGAGUGGAAGAGAGGAAAGCGGAAUGCGAGGUGUAGCGGUGAAAUGCAUAGAUAUCACGCAGAACCCCGAUUGCGAAGGCAGCAUGCCGGCUUCCUACUGACGCUGAAGCACGAAAGCGUGGGGAUCGAACAGGAUUAGAUACCCUAGUAGUC